ACUGCAUAUGUUUAACAUGUAUGCUACAAAUUUGUGGUAAAGCUUAAAAAUCGCCAUCGAUGCAUACGUGUCACCCUUUUCUCCUUCCUGGUCACACACACCUCCUCUGCUGCAAUCAGCAUGAUUUCACCUACAUGUGAUCUGUUCUGUUGAAGCGCUCUCCUGCCUCCUUGUCGGUGCCUGAUUGUUGAAACCUCCCCCCACUAGAUGUCCAGCAUUUCUUCCAUGCCCUUGUCUGACCUCCUCAUUAGAACUUUGUGCCCUGGAUUCUUCUCUCUUGCCUUCAUCCGACUUCUGCCAAGCAUCUGAUCUCUGGGCAUCGACUCUGUUUCUGUGCCCUGACCACCAAGCCUUACCAAGCCCUAGGAUAAACAGUCUUAUCCCUCCGUCUUUGUCCGUGACUCUUGCCCAUCUCACUGUUAUCCCUCUGGAUCCUGAAUUUGUCACUGCUGUGUCUUCUGACUUCUGUGUGCUGAACCAAGCCUGCUCUGUUUUUUUGUUGUUGUUUUUUUUUUUCCCAUUACCUGUUGUGACAUCAUCCUGUACGCUCUCUGCUUCCUAGUUCCUCUCAAGAGAGGUGUAAGCAACAACACAGCUUGCAGGCAGGAAAGGAAAUGUUUGGAUACAGAGACGGUCACCUUCUUUUGGAUGCUCACAAAGGAUAAAAAGCAUGUAGGGACAUCCAUCUCCGAUCAAAGCCUGUAUCCUGGUCCAGAAAAAGAGAUUUUCCGACUCCCACCAGUUGCAUGUUGAGAAUAAACCUUUCUAAACAUG